GGGAAUAUUGCACAAUGGGGGAAACCCUGAUGCAGCGACGCCGCGUGAGCGAAGAAGUAUUUCGGUAUGUAAAGCUCUAUCAGCAGGGAAGAAAAUGACGGUACCUGACUAAGAAGCACCGGCUAAAUACGUGCC
rnacentral:rRNA from 1 species